rnacentral:rRNA from 1 species
AUUCGACCUCAAAUCGGGUGGGAUCACCCGCUGAACUUAAGCAUAUCAAUAAGCGGAGGAAAAGAAACUAACAAGGAUUCCCCUAGUAACGGCGAGUGAAGAGGGAAAAGCUCAAAUUUUGAAUCUGGCGCCUUUGGCUCCCGAGUUGUAAUCUAGAGAAGUGUCUUCCGCAUCGGACCGUGUACAAGUUC